UAUUACACAAACCUUGAGCAAACAGUGUGAGAGUCCAGAUGAGGAUGAUGAUGUUGUUCAUUGUUGUUGUUGUGUCUUGUGUGAUGAUGAAGAUUGUGUUCUGUUCUGCUCUCAGUCAUGAAGUGUUAAACUCACAGCACUAUAAACUCUCUCAGAGCACUGAAGCAUGUGCUGAUGAUGCAAAGAAGAGGGCAGGAUUUACAACAGAUCGAGCUGCUACAAGACUGAUAUACUAGACUAGAGUUACAGAAUAUAUUACUCUAUAAAUUCUAUUAGAUGAAUCAACACCACUAUAAGAAGAGAGUGAAUUGUGAGUCUGUUCAUAAAGUAUCAGGACUGACUGUAAAUCUCUAAUCAGAGUUCAUGGUGUCACUCUGUCUGUCAUCAAUCCUCGAGUGAGACUGAAAUUGUAAAAUGGACAGAAAACAUUCUGUUAAAAAUGGUGACAGAUGGAAACUUUAGUUUUAGCUGGAGACUCACUACAAGCCCAGAUACCUUUUUCGUUUCUUUUCUUUUCUUUUCUUUUCUUUUCUUUCUUAUAAAAACGUAACAUGAACAAAUGUCUCUUGAUUAUUUUGUCUGAAGCUGCAGGUUUUUCUGUGAAUCAUGACUGAGCUUCAUAUGAACAACAGAAGAAUCAUUCUGAGAAACUCCAUGACAUCAUCCAUGAUGAAAGAGGUCAAAGGUCAUCUCAGAGUUUGUGUUCACUCGAGUGGAAUAGAGGUUUUUGUACGAGUGUUUCAUUCGAUUGUAUCACUGUGGUGGACUUUCGGUGGAGGAACUAAACUGGUGCUCGCUGGUCCCACAGUGAAGCCCUCAGUGUCUCUCCUGCCGCCCUCUUCUCUGCAGAUCUCUGGAGACUCAGCCGCACUGCUCUGUCUGCUCAGCUCUUACUCUCCACAGGGGGCGCUGGUGAGCUGGACACUGGACGGCUCAGAGGUCACCGAGGGGGUUGUGACCAGCGCAGAGAGCGAGCAGGACGGCCGCUACAGCCGCAGUAGUGUCCUGACCCUCAGCAAAGCACGCUGGGAAGAGGGAGAGCUGUACGUCUGCAGAGUAACACAUGAUGGAGCUCCUCAUGAAGCCUCGUUCCACAAGAGUCGCUGUUAGUCGCUCGCAGUGCUGAUGUUUCUCCAGUGAGCGCUGCUCUCUCCUGAAGAUGAACGUAUCUGAGU